rnacentral:rRNA from 1 species
AUUGAACGCUGGCGGCAGGCCUAACACAUGCAAGUCGAACGAGUGGCGGACGGGUGAGUAAUGUCUGGGAAACUGCCCGAUGGAGGGGGAUAACUACUGGAAACGGUAGCUAAUACCGCAUACCAUCGGAUGUGCCCAGAUGGGAUUAGCUCGUAGGGGGGGUAACGGCUCCCCUAGACGACGAUCCCUAGCUGGUCUGAUAGGAUGACCAGCCACACGGGAACUGAGACACGGUCCAGACUCCUACGGUAGGCAGCAGUGGGGAAUAUUGCACAAUGGGCGCAAGCCUGAUGCAGCCAUGCCGCGUGUAUGAAGAAGGCCUUCGGGUUGUAAAGUACUUUCAGCGGGGAGGCGUUACCCGCAGAAGAAGCACCGGCUAACUCCGUGCCAGCAGCCGCGGUAAUAC